AUGUAACAACAUCCUUGGUGAAGACAGCGCCUCCUAGCUCAUGUUCCUGUCCACCAGUGUCAACAUCAGGGCAUAGAGUUUGCACCAGAAUUAAUGUUGGGCUAUGUUUUUAUUGUUAUAUUUGUGGUUUUUAAAAUUGUUUUUAGUUUUGUCUAGGAUUUUGGAUAUUUUUUGGGGUGGAUAUUGGAAUAUUUUCAUAGGCAUGCUGAGAUAUAUUAGGGAUAGGACCAAAGUCUACACAUAAAAUCUAUUUAUGUUUCAUAGGUACGUUAUAUACCUAGCCUGAAGGUAAUUUUAUAUAUUUUAAAUAAUUUUGUGCAUGAAAUAAAAUGUGUGCACACUGAACCAUCAGAAAG
rnacentral:lncRNA from 1 species